rnacentral:lncRNA from 1 species
GUUUUGACAAAAUUCUGCGAUAAAGACAGAAUAUGCAUCACAUCUUACUCUAAACACAUGUGCAUGACGAUGCAAUGCUAUCUAUCGAGUGCGAGAGCCAGCGAGAGCGUCCCACGACGUGGGACCCAAUUGACUACAGCCAUUCACAGCGACCAGUGCAUAGGAUUUUUCUACUGGACCAGCCAAUCAGACAUUCUUAUAUUAAAUCGACCAAUUAGCGACGAGAUCAAUCGGAUCUCACCCAGUGCUGCCCAGAGGUGCCAGUAAAAUAGUAAUCUUUGAGAUUUGAAGUGUGUGCAAACUGCAAAGUGAAAGUAUGCAAAAAAAUAGAUGGAUGUACCGCGACCUUUGUAAUAGUUCUGCAAAAAAGGUUACACUAUUUGCAGAAAGCAUUGGCCAGAGUUCCGCAACGUCGGGCUCCGUGGGAACAAAAUGUCUAACAAAACAGUUGUAAAAAGUGGAUAGCGACAAAUAAUUCAUAUCUUUGUAAGGUUAAGGGGCACUUUUGCCAAAAAAUGUGGGAACAGAAAUGCGAAAUCGAAAAUUAAAAUUAGGAUCCUGAUAACAUUUCGUGUUUUUCUAAAACAAUAUAACCAUAAGCAUAAAUAAGGUAUCAAAGAAACAUGCAUGCAUGCUAAAGAAGGACUGAAAUGAAUAUCUAUAGAUACAUAAAAAUCAUGAAAAGAGAUAAAACUAUAUAUACUCAUUGUGCCAAUUUCUAUGCCAACUACUGGUGUUACAGUGCUUUGCGCCAAUGUUAUUGCGCCAGUGAUAAUAAUGUUACACUAACGCUAUAAAUCUUUGUGUGUAACAUCACUUAUAUGAUGGUUAUUAAAUCAGAUUGCUGUAUAAACGUAGACUCAAUAUGUUGUAGCCAAACACUGGUGAUUUUAAAAGUAAUAAAAUAAAGAAUAUUACGGAGUAAAUGAAAUUUCAGAAAGUAAUGCAACAAGUGAUAUUAUAAAAGCUGUAGAUUUUUACUAAACAAUUACUGGAAAAUGACAUGGUGGAAUGUACGACAAAACGUAUCGAUGAUACGUAUGUAUUAUAAUAUACUGUAACAUACUGCUGAAUCUGAAAAAAGAGAACGAAAUGAAAAAUAUAAAAAAACCAAAACGGCACAUGAUAAGAAUGCAAAAGAAAAUAAAAGCGAUGAAACAUAUAAUUCUUAUAAAUCAUUAUAGGAAAAAGUGAAUAAUGAUAAAGACAAGAAGGUUCCAUUAUUUAUAUAAUAGACUAUUUAACGAAAAUCAAAUAACAACGUAAAUUAUGUACAAAAGAAGAAGUAAAAGUUGAUUUAAUGUACAGCGUGCAUUAUGAUACAUGGCGUCCUCUCCAAGUCGAUUGGAUCGCCCAAAGAUUGACAGGAUUUGUUCGCGCUAUGCUAAUUCAGUCAAACGAGAGCAGGUGUCCAAAGGUGUCACUGAUGAGCCAAGCAAAAUCUCGUAGAGAUUUAAGAGUAUAGGAUAAUGAUUGUGUAUUUUAAGAAUGAAAUGUGUGUGUGUGUGUGUGUGUGUGUGUGUAUUCCAAGUAUUCAGUCUUUUAAUUGCAAGUUCUUUAAGUCCUACGACCGUCUUUAGCUACAUGUAUUCAAUAUAGAUGUUAAGUUUAAAUCUAUGUUUAAACUAAACUAAAUUGAAAUAGAAAUACAAUAUGUGACGCUAAGUCAAAUUUAGUAUUUCGACACUAAGUCGGAUUUAGUAUUUUAAUAUUAAGUUAGAUUUAGUAUUUCAACACUAAAUAUAUAGAUAUAGAAUGCAAGUUAAACAUGCAUUAAAUACGAAACUGCGUGCUUAACAAUUAACGUUACUUUAUGGAAGCAAUCAUUAUGAACAAGUUCUUCAUCAAGGUAUACCCGUUAUCCUUUUUACAGACAAAGACAAAGAUUUCAAAUUGAAGUCUGACAUAUUGGUAAAGAUGUCUGAUUUUUUAAGAUAUACGAAAUCUUAUUUUUAUAAAAAUAGAAUGUAGAAUAUGAACUUAUAUUUGACGAAAUGGCAAUCACAUUGCUCACAAUGUUAUGAAUCACUUACCGAAACAAUUACGAGUGUUAGAUUUGCGGAUGAAACAGCUACUGCUAUGUAUGCUUUAGCUUGUUGUUGCUAACCAUUGGAAAUUGUUUAUUAUAAAUGACUUCAUAUCCUCUUAAUCUCAAAUAUUUAUCGCGCAGUAAUAUAAAUUUUUAAGAGCAAUGUCAAGUUUUCUUAAUUAAUUAAUAUUGACAGAAAGAAGCUAAGAAAGAAAUAGACUGGGAGGAAUGUAGGGACAGACAAAAGAGAAGGCAAGUAAUGAGGGAGGAAGGAGGGUAAUGAGGAAUAUAAGAAAAUUAAUAACGCGUCAGUAGUAGUUACUAUUGUAGCGAUUGACGACGUAUUAUAUUAUAUGCGCUUUAAUAGCAUCAAAUUAGUUACUGUUAAGUGUUGCAAUCAAUACCUUUUUGUAUUGUGUUAUAUAUACGUAUUGGUAUACAAAACGUAGAGAGUAUUUAAAACUGACACUUUACUGCAAUUUUAUAUUGAACAAUAUUAUUAAUAAAAACUUUUAUAAAAAAACUUUUAUUAAAUUUUUAUUUAAUAUUACUGGAAAAUUAAAAUGAAGUAAGAUUAAACUGUAAUACAAUUAACAAUAAUAGAAAAUAAUGAAAUAUAGACACUCAACAAUUAUAAAAAUGCUAGCAAUAACAUUAAUGAAAAUCAGACAAUGAGAUCAUUCUUGUAAUGUUAUAAUAUAUCUGGCUAUUAUAGAAAAAGACGUAAACAUGACAGUUCUACAAGAGUUUCAAUUAUGUGAAACCUGAGAUACGAACUGAGGACAAGCACAAUAUAACUCGGGCAUUCGUUUUAAAUGAUCACAAUUAUGCUCGCUUCCCAACAACGUGAAAGUUUAGCAGACAUCUAACAGACGUUCUAAUCUCCCAGGCCUUCUUUUCUAGAUAUCUCAGAUGUUCUUUAGAUUUCCCUCAGACACUCGUGUUUUCUAAAUUGAAACGUUACUAAGUCGGCAACAUUUCAACACGAGGAUAAGUACAAUUCUAUUGAGAGCCAGACCUUUGAACUGUAUAAAAUGAUAUCUAUAUAAAACAAAAGUAAUAAAACGAGAAUUUAAAAGAAAAGAUAUUUCUGAUAUAUACGGUAUGUUCAUAUGUAUAAAAUCGAAAACUAUAUAUUAAAUUUACCGAAACUUAAUUCUCAUAGUUUUCUAAAAACAGUUACAAUUUAUAAAUAUAUAUAAAACAUAUUUAAUAAAUUUUAUAAUGAUGGUUUGAUUUUCUUAUCUAGAAAUGUCGAGUAUAGACUCGAAUUAUCAGAAAUAACAAAAGGAUGCGCUCUGGCGCAGCGUUCGGCAGAAAGAAUCUGCGCACGUGCACCGAACGGCACGACCGACCUGACCCGACCGCGAAGGGAUGAUCAAUAACUUCCAGGAUAUAUAAGGCGCUGUUCCGGUAGCGUGUGCGCCUCCUGAGUUCUCGGUGAUCGGUUUAUCGUGGACCACACGGACCUUUAACUCCGAUCCGCGUUAUCGGCUCGACUGCGUCUAGAAUUGGCCUGUACGUCAGAUAACAUCGGAAAGGUAUUAACCACUGGGUAUAUAAGUACUUAUAAGGUACACCAUUAUGAAAUUUAUCAGUUAUAGAGUAACGUAAGUUCUACAGUAAUACAAUGUUUUUCCUUCGUUUGUUAAUUUCUUCUAUAAUACUAUGAACGCUGUCGGCAGCUUAAAUAUCGAUCGCAUAUCGACAAUUCGUUUAUCGAAAUGAAAGUGUUUGAUAAUAGAGAUAUGGUAUAAAAAGGAAAAAAAA